CGCAAUUUGGUUCGGAAUGGGGGCAGCCUGAUCCAGCAUGCCGCGUGUGUGAAGAAGGCCUUCGGGUUGUAAAGCACUUUUAUCGGGAACGAAACUUGUCGGCCAAUACCCGGCAAGACUGACGGUACCCGAGGAAUAAGCACCGGCUAACUCCGUGCCAGCAGCCGCAGUAAUUA
rnacentral:rRNA from 1 species